rnacentral:lncRNA from 1 species
UUUGCGUGGACCCCAAGCAACCACCGGCCUUUAUAAAGCGGCCGAACCUCCUUUUCGUCGCCAUUCGAUCGGCGACGGGAAACCCGCCCUCGCUAGCACCCAGGAGCCGGAAAAUGCUGACGAUUAGAUCCCUUCCCACGGGAGCCGCUGGAGAAGAAAGGUAACAGUAGCCGUAUAAUUUUCUUUUUUUGCUUCAUUUGCCGAUCGAUACGCCUCUACUGGAUCCGAUCCAAAAUCUUGAUAUAUCAAGAUCUUGCAUAUUCUUUUCUCUUAUUCUUUCUCUGAUUCUGUUGAUCCUACUAUUUGUGGGUGACGUCUCGUGAAUUCUAUGUAAGGUUGAGCCAUUCCCCCUCCUUAGAAGCAAUAGAUCGAUCGACGUUUUAAACGAUUCAUUCGAUUCCAUGGAAUUUCUUUUAUCGAUCAUGGGUUUCUCUCUGGAUCUACAAAAAUGCAUUUGUUCUGUCUCCGAUGAAUCAAGGUAUUCGACUAUGUCCUCUCGGAUGUGUCUGGGUGAUGAUGAUGCGCUGCUUAACGAAGGUGUGGAAACGCCUUAUGGUUCGACCCGACUUAUGAGUUACAUAUCUUGACUAACAAUAGCUUCCUGUUCUUGUCUUAUCUGUGUUAAGGUCGGAGAAGCUGAAUUCUCCGUGGGUUCUCGUUUGUUGCCAUGUCUGUCCCUCGGAAAAUCCUGACAUUCUUCCAUUCAGUUGGGAAACCUGUUUUAUGCAUCUUCUUAUUUCUUUCUCUCUCUCUGCUCGUGCUCAUGCUUUGCAACAUUUCAUCUACGUGAGUUCAUCUGCAAAUGCAUUGUUCCUUACUCUGAUCUGAUCUUAGCUAUAUUUAUAUUUAUCUGUUAUGUUGUAAUGUUUUUCAAACACAUCUCAUGUAUGUCUUCACAAAGUAGUUCGUCACUGAGAUUAGGAUUGACCGAGUGAAGGAAGGCAUCACUUAUCUAACGUCUUGACCAACAAUGAGUGUGAUGUCUUUGUAUUUUGCCCUUUGCUAGUAGAUUUCACUAUUCCAGUACUUACAUCUAAUAAAUCCCCACAACUUCGAGAUACCUUGAUGUGUAUAGCCACCAUGGGGAUAACUAGUUUUGGUGGGAAAAUCUAGAGAAUAACCUAGACAUUAUCGUAAUUUUUUCUUAUAUUACCUGGGAUGUUCUUUUUUAUCUUUUUAACUCAUGGCAUACUGUAAUUGGUUUCAGAACCCCGAGAGAGGAAUGGGAUUGGUUAGAUGUUAUCAAGUCUAUGAAAUUUGCGGAAGUCAGAGACGAUCUAAAUCAUUGCAUUGCUUGAUAUGCUGGAAAUUAUUUGCAACCAAACAUAAAGUUUCUUGAUAAGAGAUCAUUAGUUCAUCUUUAUCAAAUUGUGAGACCUUUUUUUUUUUGUUGUUAGAGGUAUUUCACUUAUAAAAUAAUUCUAUGGAUCAGCACUACAAAGUUAAAUAAAAUGUUCUUAUUCUUGUUUGAAGCUACCAUAGCUUCCCAUAUAUUAAUACAAAAUCAGCAUUUAUAUAGCUUCUAAACGAUGAAAAAAUUUUGGUUCUACUGUAUCCAAAAGUGUGAAUAUAUGACUUGGUGCAUUCAGAUUUCUGUCGUAUUCAGCGGUAUUGCUCAUCUGUUUUGUAUGUCAGGUUCGUGUACAUAUGAAAUUUUUUAGGAUUUUAUUUGGUGUCCUCUAACCACAAAUAGAACUAUAGUUUUAGAAAGUAACUUCGAGUUGGGGAAAACCCAAAUAGAACUAUAUUUGGAUGGAUGACUUCUUAGAAUAUUUUAAUGUUAAGUUCAACUUAUUUUGACAUAAUAAAAUAGGAAAAUUCUGUUCUGAGUUUGUAUGUCUCAGUGUACAUGUUUAUUUUCCCCACUGCUGCCACAAAUGACAUCAGAAUUUCAUAUCUGGCACUGAUUUAUUCCUUUCUAAUGCUUUUCAUUCUUUCUCCUUCACUUGAACUUAAUCUCUUACAUUUCAAGACCACUUGUCCUGACCUUGAAGAUGUAGCUGAAUAUCAAAAAGCUACAUGUUUUAGAGACAUAUUUUGUUUGGCUAUGUGAGUUCAAGAAUACAAUUGGUGGAAACAUUGCUACCAUUGAUGAGUAACAUCAUACCACAAUUUAUCCAUAACAAUUCUAUAUAUUUCUUAUCUUAGUUCACUUGCAUGUGUUGUUUAAAUUUUUAUUUGUUGCACCAUUACCUACCUUUGUUAGAUGCUUUUCUAAGAGAACCUGGAGCAUGAAACGGUGCAUUUAUAGGAUGUAAAUGAUUGACAACAUAGGUAACUAGAGCAGAACUGGAAUCAGACUGUCCGGCUAGUGGUAUGAUUUAGAUCGAUUGAACAGUCUGAUUGGGUUGGUCAUAUGGGAACCAAUACAUAAAAUAAAUCUAAAUUCAAAACUAGAAUUUUAAUCAGGCCAGUAAAUAUAAUAAUAUAGUUGCAGUAAAUUAUAAUGUGCUUAAUCUGAAAAUAUACAUUUAGUUUGUUUAUUUAAGUCGGACUAGAAUACUAUGUGAUCGAACAGCUUAAAAGCUUCACUUCCAAUCAUGUCUUAGUUCUUCCAAUCCACUCUGAUUACACAAGUCGGCUCAUACUAAGAUAUUUAAUUUAUAUGAUUUGAUUUAUUAAUUCUGACUAGGUUAGCGUUAGUUGACCGCUUAGUAUUCCAUCAUACUGAUUAGAUAUAGAGGGCAAGGAGGAGAGGACGAGAAGAGGAUUGAAGGAGGUGGUGGCAGCAACGGAGGAGUACCGAUUUUUAACAUGGGAUCUAAAUUGCAUGGGAUCUUAACAUAUAGGUGUGUAAGUUUGUUAACGAUAUGAUAUUUUUAGAUAAUAAGAUCCAACUAAAUUGUUAUAUAUACAAUACAAAUCCUGUUGGUUCUUAUGGGUUUUUCAUUAUUUUGUCACCUUUUAGGAUAAGAUAUUAAUCGUACUAGACCUACACGUCGAAACUUCUAUCUUUAAAAUAAUGCUCUAAAUUUUGACAAAGGUGGAUGUCGUGUUUGUAAUCUUAAAAAAAGUUGGAUAUUAUGUGGAUAGAGUAUGACAUCUGUUGUGUUGACCCUUCGACUGGAAUGAUUUUUUUUUGUCUCCCAGAUGUAGUAAUCGAUCGCUAUCUGUUCAAUUGGCAAAAAGUGUCAUUAUAAUUGUUCUCGUAAUCAAAGAUUCAUUGCACUUUGUAUUUACCAAACAGCUGCUUAAAUAUUUAAAUUGUGUCCUACCAAGCUCGAGAUAACUAGCUGCAGUAUGCACCAUGUUUACAAGGGAGACGGAAGAAGCAGUAGUCACUUCUCUUUCUAAGAUUAGAUCGCUAAAACUGCAACAGCAAGCUACUUAUUUGUUUUUGUACGGGUUGAAUUGUUUAUCAAAAUUGUACUUUCUUCAGGUUGAAUCAGACCUCUUUGAGAACGAAUAAUUGCAAAGGAGAGCUGGCUUCAUUAGGGUAAAUAACUGCCAAUAAUAGGUUCGGCGCUUAAUUCCUCUUAUUUAUUUGGAUGCAUUAUUCAGUAUAUCAUUUUUUUUUUUUAUGGUUCUGCUUGCUUGAGGGCUAUCACACCUUAAAAAAAAAUAUAAGAACAACGCUUAACUCAUGGGGCACUCGAAAACUUAUUUUAUAUUCGUUUGUUUGGUUUUUCCGGCGAUUCUUCUUCUUAUUCUUCUGUUUUUUUUUUUAUCGUCCCGAAAAAACAAAUGAUCCAUCUUGGAACUGCUUCGCGAAAAUGAAAAUGAUAUUUUACUUGGACUGGAUCACCUCGGUUAACAUUUUGGUGUGGUGCGUACCUGGCAUCCACGAGUCGGUGUGGGAGGCGACAUCGCAGUCCGCUACAUCACCUGACGCCUGAGGUGUCAUUUUGUCCACUAAUUAGCAGUAAUCAUCGCCCUGAAAAUUUACAGGGGUGAUUCGGUACACCUGUAGCGGUACUUUUGUAGCUAUCAAAGAGCCUCGUUAGUUCUACUGUCAAAUUUCCAUGUCAUCCGUGUGUCCCUCGAUUGAGUGCUGAUGCAGUCGUAUGAAUGGAGCCGGUGGACAACGUCUUAUCCGUUUCUUUUAAGAACUACCCACGUGAGAUGUAAUUUAGACAAGGAAACCUGACCACUUGCGUUAUUUUUCUAGUGUUCUAUUUGUUAACCAUCUUAGAAAAUUUUGCUUGGCUGCGCAUUCCAAGAUCCGAUCAAAUGGCUGUCAAUGGCGGGACCCAUCCGUCCGACAAUAUGAUGCAUGUUAUGGACCCGGGCGACCUAAAGCCACUCCGAUGUGCUUUGAUUCGGCUCGAAGUUCCCGGUACGUGCUUCGAGCUACUCAAAAUCUUCCGGCUCACCCACUAUGGUGGGUGGCAAACGCAACGCUUAAAAAGUAUAAUUCUGAGGAUAUUAUACUUUUAAACAGACAAUGUUGGUUCUCACGUCGGUUCCAAAUUAAAGCUCUGCUGUGACGUCAGUAGCCUCGUGUCAGUGGUCCUGCUGCCAAGGCUUAGGUUCCGUGGGGUCGACAGAUCCUUGUUUUUGUUCGAGCUGAUGUGACUGCAUGGGGAUGAGCCCAUGAGAGGGGACCACGCUCU